CUGGGUGCCUAUAGUGUCCCUUUGAAAUAAAUUUGCUCCUUUGCUUAUUUUGAGUUCUUUCUUUCACAUUGGAGAAAUAUUUUGUAGGUUAUCUUUUCUGCCUCUAUAUCUGCAGAUUAUGCUGGCACAACUCAUUAUUGGGCUGGUAAAGAAUUUUUUCCAGGGCAGGUCUACCCCCCCACCUGAACAGGCAUGGGCUAUUAAAUAAUAGAAAACAUGAGGGCAUCCUAAUUUCUCAAACACACAAAUAUACUACACACACACCACUCAGAUUCCCCUUCACAGACACACAGUACUCUUUCAUAACACUAAAUGUAUCCACCACUCACAACACUCUACCACACACACACAGUCAGCGUUCACCAGCCUACAGCCCUCAGCCUCCUCAUCGCACAACACAACCACCACACACACACACAGUGCAAACUCACAGAAACAAGGAGGGUGUUCCAAUAUGGUACCCUGUCUAGGGCCUUGGGCAAUCUAAAUCCAGCUUUGGCAUGAAUUAUUUGGUAUUAGAG